UACGUAGGGUCCGAGCGUUGUCCGGAAUUAUUGGGCGUAAAGAGCUCGUAGGCGGUUUGUUGCGUCGGGAGUGAAAACUUACAGCUUAACUGUGAGCGUGCUUCCGAUACGGGCAGACUUGAGGUAUUCAGGGGAGAACGGAAUUCCUGGUGUAGCGGUGAAAUGCGCAGAUAUCAGGAGGAACACCGGUGGCGAAGGCGGUUCUCUGGGAAUAUCCUGACGCUGAGGAGCGAAAGUGUGGGGAGCGAACAGG
rnacentral:rRNA from 1 species